AACGUGCUCCGGGGUCGGUGAGAAUCCGAACCGGCGGUGACAGUCCGCGAACCCGAUGCCCAGCCCGCGAGGUCUGGGAUAUCGGGCCGAUCCGGUGGAAUUCCGGGACCGACGGUGAUGCGGCAGUCCUCCUGCGGGAGGGCUGCGCGCUAGUCCGGAUGAGAGGCAGCACGCC
rnacentral:ncRNA from 2 species